UCAGGAUGAAAUAUUGGAUAGCUUUGGAGAAAGUGUUGUGUAAAAGAUAAAUUUUGAUUUCUAAAUGUAUUUCAUAUACUAUAAGUUUAUUUGUACUGGAAAUUGUGUGUGUGUGUGUGUGUGUGUGUGUGUGCGCGCGCACACACACACACACACACACAACUGGUUGUCUGAU